CCCUUAGAUGUUCUGGGCCGCACGCGCGCUACACUGAUGCAUGCAGCAAGUCUUUUCCUUGGCCGAGAGGCCUGGGCAAUCUUUGAAUAUGCAUCGUGAUGGGGAUAGACGAUUGCAAUUAUUCGUCUUCAACGAGGAAUUCCUAGUAAACGCAAGUCAUCAGCUUGCAUCGAUUACGUCCCUGCCCUUUGUACACACCGCCCGUCGCACCUACCGAUUGAAUGGUCCGGUGAAGGCUCCGGAGGCGUCUUUCUCAAUGUUUAUUCGGCGAGAUUGGUGCCAAAGUUGAAUGAACCUUACCAUUUAGAGGAAGGUGAAGUCGUAACA
rnacentral:rRNA from 1 species